AACGAACGCUGGCGGCAUGCCUAACACAUGCAAGUCGAACGAGACCUUCGGGUCUAUUGGCGCACGGGUGCGUAACGCGUGGGAACCUGCCCUUAGGUUCGGAAUAACUCCCCGAAUGGGGUGCUAAUACCGGAUAAUGUCUUCGGACCAAAGAUUUAUCGCGUUUGGUUGGGCCCGCGUUGGAUUAGCUAGUUGGUAGGGUAAAAGCCUACCAAGGCGACGAUCCAUAGCUGGUCUGAGAGGAUGAUCAGCCACACUGGGACUGAGACACGGCCCAGACUCCUACGGGAGGCAGGAGUGGGGAAUAUUGGACAAUGGGCGAAAGCCUGAUCGAGCAAUGCCGCGUGAGUGAUGAAGUCCUUAGGGUUGUAAAGCUCUUUUACCCGGGAUGAUAAUGACAGUACCGGGAGAAUAAGCUCCGGCUAACUACGUG
rnacentral:rRNA from 1 species